rnacentral:rRNA from 1 species
AUUGAACGCUGGCGGCAUGCCUUACACAUGCAAGUCGAACGGUAACGCGGGGCAACCUGGCGACGAGUGGCGAACGGGUGAGUAAUAUAUCGGAACGUGCCCAGUAGUGGGGGAUAGCCCGGCGAAAGCCGGAUUAAUACCGCAUGAGACCUGAGGGUGAAAGCGGGGGAUCGCAAGACCUCGCGCUAUUGGAGCGGCCGAUAUCAGAUUAGCUAGUUGGUGGGGUAAAGGCCUACCAAGGCAACGAUCUGUAGUUGGUCUGAGAGGACGACCAGCCACACUGGGACUGAGACACGGCCCAGACUCCUACGGGAGGCAGCAGUGGGGAAUUUUGGACAAUGGGCGCAAGCCUGAUCCAGCAAUGCCGCGUGCAGGAAGAAGGCCUUCGGGUUGUAAACUGCUUUUGUCAGGGAAGAAAUCUUCUGGGUUAAUACCUCGGGAGGAUGACGGUACCUGAAGAAUAAGCACCGGCUAACUACGUGCCAGCAGCCGCGGUAAUAC